rnacentral:rRNA from 2 species
AGGUGGCGAGCGUUGUCCGGAAUUACUGGGUGUAAAGGGAGUGUAGGCGGGAAGGCAAGUCAGAAGUGAAAAUUAUGGGCUCAACCCAUAACCUGCUUUUGAAACUGUUUUUCUUGAGUGAAGCAGAGGCAAGCGGAAUUCCUAGUGUAGCGGUGAAAUGCGUAGAUAUUAGGAGGAACACCAGUGGCGAAGGCGGCUUGCUGGGCUUUUACUGACGCUGAGGCUCGAAAGCGUGGGGAGCAAACAGGAUUAGAUACCCUGGUAGUCCACGCCGUAAACGAUGAUUACUAGGUGUGGGGGGAUGAACCCUUCCGUGCCGGAGUUAACACAAUAAGUAAUCCACCUGGGGAGUACGACCGCAAGGUUG